ACGUGAAAUCCCAUGGCUCAACCGUGGAACUGCGUUGGAAACUGUCUGACUUGAGUAUCGGAGAGGUGAGGGGAAUUCUCGGUGUAAGGGUGAAAUCUGUAGAUAUCGAGAGGAACACCAGUGGCGAAGGCGCCUCACUGGCCGGUAACUGACGCUGAGCUGCGAAAGCAAGGGGAGCAAACAGGAUUAGAUACCCUGGUAGUCCUUGCCGUAAACGAUGUGGAUUAGGUGUUGGGGGUGUUGAUCCCCCCGGUGCCGCAGUUAACGCAUUAAAUCCACCACCUGGGGAGUACGGCCGCAAGGCUGAAACUCAAAGAAAUUGACGGGGACCCGCACAAGCGGUGGAGCAUGUGGUUUAAUUCGAGGCUACGCGAAGAACCUUACCCAGGCUUGACAUGUAGUUGAAUGGCUGUGAAAGCAGUCAGGCCCGCAAGGGACAAUUACACAGGUGCUGCAUGGCUGUCGUCAGCUCGUGCUGUGAAGUGUUGGGUUAAGUCCCGCAACGAGCGCAACCUUUAUUGUUAGUUGGCAUCACGUCAUGGUGGCCACUCUAAUGAGACUGCCGGUGAUAAACUGGAGGAAGGAGGAGACGACGUCAAGUCAGUAUGGCCCUUAUGCCUGGGGCUACACACGUGCUACAAUGGCCACUACAAAGGGCUGCAAACCCGCGAGGGGGAGCAAAUCCCAAAAAAGUGGCCCCAGUUCAGAUUGCAGGCUGCAACUCGCCUGCAUGAAGUCGGAAUCGCUAGUAACGGUAGAUCAGCUACGCUACCGUGAAUACGUUCCCGGGUCUUGUACACACCGCCCGUCAAGCCACCUGAGUCGAGAGCACCCAAAAUCGUUGAUCUAACCCGCAAGGGAGGAAAACGCUUAAGGUGAGAUCGGUAAGGAGGGCUAAGUCGUAACAAGGUAAC
rnacentral:rRNA from 1 species